rnacentral:rRNA from 1 species
GUAACAAGGUUUCCGUAGGUGAACCUGCGGAAGGAUCAUUACAGAGUUCAUGCCCGAAAGGGUAGACCUCCCACCCUUGUGUAUUAUUACUUUGUUGCUUUGGCGAGCUGCCUUCGGGCCUUGUAUGCUCGCCAGAGAAUACCAAAACUCUUUUUAUUAAUGUCGUCUGAGUACUAUAUAAUAGUUAAAACUUUCAACAACGGAUCUCUUGGUUCUGGCAUCGAUGAAGAACGCAGCGAAAUGCGAUAAGUAAUGUGAAUUGCAGAAUUCAGUGAAUCAUCGAAUCUUUGAACGCACAUUGCGCCCCUUGGCAUUCCGGGGGGCAUNCCUGUUCGAGCGUCAUUUCAACCCUCAAGCUUAGCUUGGUAUUGAGUCUAUGUCAGUAAUGGCAGGCUCUAAAAUCAGUGGCGGCGCCGCUGGGUCCUGAACGUAGUAAUAUCUCUCGUUACAGGUUCUCGGUGUGCUUCUGCCAAAACCCAAAUUUUUCUAUGGUUGACCUCGGAUCAGGU